rnacentral:rRNA from 1 species
GACGAACGCUGGCGGCGUGCUUAACACAUGCAAGUCGAACGGAAAGGCCCUGCUUUUGUGGGGUGCUCGAGUGGCGAACGGGUGAGUAACACGUGAGUAACCUGCCCUUGACUUUGGGAUAACUUCAGGAAACUGGGGCUAAUACCGGAUAGGAGCUCCUGCUGCAUGGUGGGGGUUGGAAAGUUUCGGCGGUUGGGGAUGGACUGGCGGCUUAUCAGCUUGUUGGUGGGGUAGUGGCUUACCAAGGGUUUGACGGGUCGCCGGCCUGAGAGGGUGACCGGCCACAUUGGGACUGAGAUACGGCCCAGACUCCUACGGGAGGCAGAAGUGGGGAAUAUGACACAGUGGGCGGAAGCCUGAUACAGCAACGCCGCGUGCGGGAUGAAGGCCUUCGGGUUGUAAACCGCUUUCGCCUGUGACGAAGCGUGAGUGACGGUAAUGGGUAAAGAAGCACCGGCUAACUACGUG